ACCUCCGGUCCGGGGGAGGCUAUCGCAUUGGUGGCGGGAGGGGGCGUUUUGGUCACCGCUCCCCAUUCCCUACAUCCCAAUGCUCAGGGCUGGUUACCCUAGCAGAGAGGUCAUCAGCAGGCCCACAGUGUGGACCGGGUGAAGACGGCGUUGUCUCCUUUCCAUGUAAAACAUAAAGCACCUGUAGCUCGGGCUGUAGAUCCCUGUGGUUGUCACUGGCACCGUUGGCGUUUUCUGACGUCAACAAACCAGAACCCAGAGCCCAUCGGCACCCAGGUUUCUCCCUGGUUUAGGUUUCCUCCCCUCAGCAACGUGCGCUGUGCCCUAUGCCCUCUGCAGCUCUGCUUAAAUAGCUCUAGUUAUCUGGUUCCCUAAGAUUUCUUCUAUGAAAAAUGAGAUGACUCGAACUAGACAGAGGCAGCCCCCUAUGGGAGGGUACGGAUGGCUUGAUAGUGAUCCAAAUCUGUGUCAAGAAUGUUGCUGUACUCCAAGUGACAACAGGAUAUAGGAUUACUCACCUGUACACAGUGGGAAAAACAAGUCUUUGAGGAUCUGAGCCAGAAGUUUUUCAUGCUGUUCCUUGACUCCAAAUCCAAGAUUGUUCUCUUCGAUGUGGUUGCCAGCAUACUGAUAGAAAAAAGCCUGGAUACACCAGAUCAAUACAUUUAAAAAAAAUACAGAGAAGUUGACCAAGGCCAUGACAUACACACAAGGCCAAACUAGACAAAGAAAUCACCAUUCCUAAUAACAAUGUGGGGAGUGAGGUGAGUGGUAUACACCCAAGAACAAGACAUGACAGGCUAUAAAGCUUACAAGGCCAUUUUCAAGUUAUUUGAUUUCUUCUGCAUUUGAAUUGAAUUUGAAAAAAGUCAGACACCUGGAGUUGUAAAAUGUCAGAAGAGGAACCAAACAUCCAAGCUAGGAUUAUUGGAGGCAAGUUCAUUUUCACUGGACUGAGAAAAUUAUACUUGGAACACCCUCAAAACACUUUGACAAAUAAAGUAGUAUAAUAAACAUAGUAACAGGCAUUUAAUCAUUUUGCCUUCAUGUUUAAUGGAUUGUUGGCUAAUGUCUUCCAAACCUUUACCUAUAAAGCAUCUGUCAUUUUCAAAAAAUUAUUUGCUUUGCUAAAUGUGAUUAGGGAUUUUGAGCUGGGACCCCCUCCCUAACAUCCAGCCCAAUUUUAAUUUGGUAACAAAGCGAUGGCUCCCCAAAUAACUUGCUCUUAGCAGUCACAUCUGCUCACCUAAUUGACAACAUAGGAGGGAAUUGUUACAAUUUGUUUUCUUUGGACUACAUCAGAAAUUGAUAAAACAUUCAUAACUGUAUGAUUCAGGGACAGAAACCACUUGUACAUAAAGCAAUACCAUUUAUCCAUGUAACACUUUAUAAUUUCAUGUAACAGAAUGCGUUUUUCCGUGGUACUUAAAAUAUGCUAAUUCUGGUAAAUCUGAAACACAUUCCUUCUGGCACUGUCUAAGCAGAUCUGGGAAAUUAAAUCUAUACAAUAGGAGAACCUCAAUUUGCAUUCAUUUACAAUAGGCAGGGACCCAAGUACUUGAACCUGCUGCCUCCCAGUGUACGCAAAGAUAGUAAGCUGGAAUUAGAAGUAGAACUCAGACUUAAAUCCAGGCAUUCUGAUACGGGAUGCCAACAUCUUAAGCCAUAGCUUAACCACUGCUUAACCUAUCCCUGCUAGUAUCAUAUAUUUUAUAUUUUAAAAAGAAAAUAAAAUAAUUAUAAUACAGCUUGAGUAAUGUCAGCCAUAGAACUGAAAACUGUAUGUCUCUGAAUUAUAAUGAAAGAAAUCAAGGAAAUUAUAUCUGUAAAGUCUGAUUUUAUCCUGGGAAAAUUUUUUGAUAUUUGUUUAGAAAUUGUUUUGUACUAAGUACUCUCUUAUUCUAAUUAACCCUCAUGAUAAUCUAUGUAAUAUUAUUAAUGUCACCAUAGAAUGCUUUAGAUGACAAAUUAGGAUAUGGUAUUAAAUCCAGACCUAUUUCAUGAAAGGAGUUAUGAAGAAUUGGAUGAUUUGAUAAAAAUGCACAGAAUCUUACUUCAGUGACAGUAGACAGGAAGGUCUCCCUGGAAAGGAAUUUUGAGUUUAAAACUGAAUGACAAAAAUGAAGUUAAUGACACAAAGAUCACAGAAAAGAAGAAACAGCCCAAACCAAAGCCCUGAAUGGAAAACAGAUUUUUUCAUAUCCAGGGACAAAAGAAGCCAGGAUGGUAUGUUGUAGGCUGGGGGUUAGGGGGAGGAGCUGGAGGAAGGAUGUGU